GCAUAUCAAUAAGCGGAGGAAAAGAAACCAACAGGGAUAGCCUCAGUAGCGGCGAGUGAAGCGGCUAAAGCUCAAAUUUAAAAUCCUCCGGGAGUUGUAAUUUGUAGACUUGUUUUAGGUGACUGAUUAAAAUUUGUUGGAAUACAAUACCAUAGAGGGUGAUAGUCCCGUUAAAUCUUAACCAAUUGUAAAACAAAGUCAAAGAGUCGAGUUGUUUGGGAAUGCAGCUCAAAGUGGGUGGUAAACUCCAUCUAAAGCUAAAUAUUGGCGAGAGACCGAUAGCGAACAAGUACAGUGAUGGAAAGAUGAAAAGAACUUUGAAAAGAGAGUGAAAUAGUACGUGAAAUUGUUGAAAGGGAAGGAUUUAUUGAUAGACAUGAUUUACUAGAACAAACUUCCUUUGGGUGGUUGUACUCUAGUAACAUCAGGUGAAUUUUUAUGAAAUGGGAAUGAGAAAACUUUUGAAAUGUGGCUCCUCGGAGUGUUAUAGUCAAAGGAAAUAGUUCCACAAUUUAUAUGAAUUCACAUAAUAUUAAUAAAUCACCCGUCUUGAAACACGGACCAAGGAGUCUACCAGUCUGGCAAGUAUUUGGGCGUAAACCCCGAAUGCGUAAUGAAAGUGAAUGUGGGACCUUUUUGUGCACCACACGCGGGCGGUCAACUUAUUUGAUACGCUCAGUGGAGCCCGUCUGGUGGGACCCGAAAGAUGGUGAACUAUGCCUGAAUAGGGUGAAGCCAGAGGAAACUCUGGUGGAGGCUCGUAGCGGUUCUGACGUGCAAAUCGAUCGUCAAAUUUGGGUAUAGGGGCGAAAGACUAAUCGAACCAUCUAGUAGCUGGUUCCUGUCGA
rnacentral:rRNA from 1 species